CGUAUGCAGGCUGAAGCAUGACCGUAAGGACAUGUGGACAGUAUACGAGUGAGAAUGUUGGCAUGAGUAGCGAGACGUGGGUGAGAAUCCCACGGGCCGUAAACUCAAGGUUUCCAGGGGAAGGUUCGUCCGCCCUGGGUUAGUCGGGACCUAAGCCGAGGCCGAAAGGCGUAGGUGAUGGACAACAGGUUGAUAUUCCUGUACCGCCAAUAAGCGUUUGAGAGAUGGAGUGACACAGUAGGAUAAGCUAACCGUACUGUUGGUUAUGUACGGCUAAGCAUUGAGGCAGUCUAAAUAGGCAAAUCCGUUUAGACAAUGCUAGGAUGUGAUGGGGAAGCCCUUCGGGGCGAAGUAGCUGAUUUCACACUGUCAAGAAAAGCUUCUAUCGAGUUUAAAGGCGCCCGUACCGUAAACCGACACAGGUGGGUGAGGAGAGUAUCCUAAGGCCAGCGAGAGAACUAUUGUUAAGGAACUCGGCAAAAUGACCCCGUAACUUAGGGAGAAGGGGUGCCUGUCUAUGACAGGCCGCAGAGAAUAGGCCCAAGCGACUGUUUACCAAAAACACAGGUUUCUGCUAAGUCGCAAGACGAUGUAUAGGAGCUGACGCCUGCCCGGUGCUGGAAGGUUAAGGGGAUCUGUUAGAGCAAUCGAAGCAGUGAACUUAAGCCCCAGUAAACGGCGGCCGUAACAAUAACGGUCCUAAGGUAGCGAAAUUCCUUGUCGGGUAAGUUCCGACCCGCACGAAAGGCGUAACGAUUUGGGCACUGUCUCAACUAUAGACUCGGUGAAAUUGUAAUCCCGGUGAAGAUGCCGGGUACCUGCGACAGGACGGAAAGACCCCAUGGAGCUUUACUGUAGCUUGACGUUGGGUCUUGGUACUACAUGUACAGGAUAGGUGGGAGACUAUGAAGCAUGGACGCCAGUCUGUGUGGAGUCAUCCUUGGGAUACCACCCUUGUAGUACUGGGAUCCUAACCAUAGGCCUUGAAUCAGGUCUUGGAACACCGUCAGGUGGGCAGUUUGACUGGGGCGGUCGCCUCCUAAAAAGUAACGGAGGCGCUCAAAGGUUUCCUCAGCACGGUCGGAAAUCGUGCGAAGAGUGUAAAGGCAAAAGGAAGCUAGAUUGCAAGACAUACAGGUCGAGCAAGGACGAAAGUCGGACUUAGUGAUCCGGUGGUACCGCAUGGAAGGGCCAUCGCUCAACGGAUAAAAGCUACCCUGGGGAUAACAGGCUUAUCUCCCCCAAGAGUCCACGUCGACGGGGAGGUUUGGCACCUCGAUGUCGGCUCAUCACAUCCUGGGGCUGUAGUAGGUCCCAAGGGUUGGGCUGUUCGCCCAUUAAAGUGGUACGCGAGCUGGGUUCAGAACGUCGUGAGACAGUUCGGUCCCUAUCCGUCGCAGGCGUAGGAAAUUUGAGAAGACCUGUCCUUAGUACGAGAGGACCGGGAUGGACGUACCUCUGGUGUACCAGUUGUUCUGCCAAGGGCAUGGCUGGGUAGCUAUGUACGGAAUGGAUAAGCGCUGAAAGCGUCUAAGCGCGAAGCCAACUUCAAGAUAAA
rnacentral:rRNA from 1 species